rnacentral:rRNA from 1 species
GAUGAACGCUGGCGGCGUGCCUAAUACAUGCAAGUCGAGCGAACGGACGAGAAGCUUGCUUCUCUGAUGUUAGCGGCGGACGGGUGAGUAACACGUGGAUAACCUACCUAUAAGACUGGGAUAACUUCGGGAAACCGGAGCUAAUACCGGAUGAUAUUUUGAACCGCGUGGUUCAAAAGUGAAAGACGGUCUUGCUGUCACUUAUAGAUGGAUCCGCGCUGCAUUAGCUAGUUGGUAAGGUAACGGCUUACCAAGGCAACGAUGCAUAGCCGACCUGAGAGGGUGAUCGGCCACACUGGAACUGAGACACGGUCCAGACUCCUACGGGAGGCAGCAGUAGGGAAUCUUCCGCAAUGGGCGAAAGCCUGACGGAGCAACGCCGCGUGAGUGAUGAAGGUCUUCGGAUCGUAAAACUCUGUUAUUAGGGAAGAACAUAUGUGUAAGUAACUGUGCACAUCUUGACGGUACCUAAUCAGAAAGCCACGGCUAACUACGUG